rnacentral:rRNA from 1 species
CGAACGGGUGAGUAACACGUGGGCAAUCUGCCCUUCACUCUGGGACAAGCCCUGGAAACGGGGUCUAAUACCGGAUAACACUCUGUCCCGCAUGGGACGGGGUUGAAAGCUCCGGCGGUGAAGGAUGAGCCCGCGGCCUAUCAGCUUGUUGGUGGGGUAAUGGCCUACCAAGGCGACGACGGGUAGCCGGCCUGAGAGGGCGACCGGCCACACUGGGACUGAGACACGGCCCAGACUCCUACGGGAGGCAGCAGUGGGGAAUAUUGCACAAUGGGCGAAAGCCUGAUGCAGCGACGCCGCGUGAGGGAUGACGGCCUUCGGGUUGUAAACCUCUUUCAGCAGGGAAGAAGCGAAAGUGACGGUACCUGCAGAAGAAGCGCCGGCUAACUACGUGCCAGCAGCCGCGGUAAUACGUAGGGCGCAAGCGUUGUCCGGAAUUAUUGGGCGUAAAGAGCUCGUAGGCGGCUUGUCACGUCGGAUGUGAAAGCCCGGGGCUUAACCCCGGGUCUGCAUUCGAUACGGGCUAGCUAGAGUGUGGUAGGGGAGAUCGGAAUUCCUGG